CAUAGCCAUAAAAACAUAACACAAAUUUAACAUAAAUAAACAUAAAAACAAAAUAUGUUCAUACCUAUACAUGAAUAUAUCCAACCCAUGAAGCUUCUUCUUGCAAAGAUUACAACAACUCAAGAAAUCCACCUCAUCAAACACCACCCCACCACCACCCCCACCACCACAAACCACCGGAGGUGACGGUGAACAAAACACCCCACCACCAUAACAACCACCACCACCACCAUGAGUGCUAACCCAAUCACUAACAAGACUCUUUCUCUUAAACCCAUCAUCAAAAUACUCUCUUUUCUUCACCAUAUUAUUCCCCACGUGCGAAAUCACACACGUGUACUCCUCCAACAACUCAAUCUCCACAUCUUCUAAACCGGGUCUUUUGCUAAAUAUCGGAAUCGGGUCGGAUCUUGGUGAAACUGAAAAAACCGGGUUCUGGGUAUUAUGACCCGAUGACUCAUCAUUCAAAGCAACCACAAUCCCCAGCCCUACGACGCCGUUUUGCUCCCUGAAUCUCUUUGGUUGCUUGUUUUGAUCAAAGAAAAAAGGUAGGGUUUUUAGUGUUAAUCUUGAUUUGUUAUUGCUUUUUGCCUUGAAUUCUGCCAUUUUUAGACAAGAUUCUUUCUGGGUUUUGUUAAAAAUCAAAUCUUUACAUACAAUUCAUCAGAAACAAAACAUGGUUUUGAGUGAAAUUGAAAAUUGACUUUGAUUUGACUGUAUUGUACAUAUAUAUAGGUGUAUGUAUAGAUACACUUGGGGGUGUAUGUAUGAAAUGGGUUUAGAGAGAGAGAGAGAGAGUAGAGAGAGAAAGAGAGAGAAGGCCACCUGCCUCUCUUCUUCUGCUUCUUCUUCACUGAAAUAGGCUCAAGGGAUUUAUGGAGAAUAAAGAAGACAUAAUGGCAAUCUUGUAAAUAAUUCAUAAUUGAGGGGUGAAGAUUUGUUUCCUACUUUUGGCAAUUUUUUAGUUUACUCCCUUGGGUUUUGGUGUUUAAGCAUGUUUACUCCCUUGAGAUUUGAGAAUAUUAUUUUUUUGUUAGUUGUUAAAAAUAUCUAGAGAACUCUAAAAGUGCAUAAAGAGAAUCAUGAUAUAAUGGAUGGGUUGAUUCGGGUCAUGUAACGGGUCAAAGGGGGUACAGGCUGGAGCAAACUGUUUUGAAAGUGUAUUGUUUUGAUUAGAAUAAAAGAGGUAUCGAUCAAAAUGGAUACGAGUCGAAACAAAUUGUUCUAGAACAAAAGUAUGAAAUCUGUUUAUCUUAUGUAUUUUUUUUAUAGCGGAGGGUGAUAGUGAUAAGUAGACGUGGUGGGCCAUUUAAACUUAUUCCACGUUAUCAAGUUUUGUAAGAAUGGCCUAUUAUAUGAUAUAAGUAGAUUAAAUAACUGUUGUAUUACUGAAAUAAAUACUUUUUUAAGCACAAUUGUGAUUUAGUGACAUAUGUAAUUUGGGUCCUUUUUGUCUAGCAAACUUCUUAUUUGGCAUUAGCCAACAACCUUUCAAAUAUUCCAAUGUAAUUUGGGAAAUAGAGACUAUACUUGCCUAAGUUUCUAUCAUUAUAACAAACUCUCAUAAUGAUUGAACAAAAUUAUUCACUAUUUGCCAAACAAACCUAAUGGAUUGCCAAAUAAUCUCAAUAUGACAUUGCUUUAUUGUUUUGAAGAACUGUUUUAA
rnacentral:lncRNA from 1 species